rnacentral:rRNA from 1 species
CCUACGGGUGGCAGCAGUGAGGAAUAUUGGUCAAUGGACGGAAGUCUGAACCAGCCAUGCCGCGUGCAGGAAGACGGCUCUAUGAGUUGUAAACUGCUUUUGUACAAGGGUAAACCUGAAUACGUGUAUUCAGCUGAAAGUACUGUACGAAUAAGGAUCGGCGAACUCCGUGCCAGCAGCCGCGGUAAUACGGAGGAUCCAAGCGUUAUCCGGAUUUAUUGGGGUUAAAGGGUGCGUAGGCGGAUUGAUAAGUUAGAGGUGGAAUGUCCGAGCUUAACUCGGGAACUGCCUCUAAUACUGUUGGUCUAGAGAGUAGAUGCGGUAGGCGGAAUGUAUGGUGUAGCGGUGAAAUGCUUAGAGAUCAGACAGAACACCGAUUGCGAAGGCAGCUUACCAAUCUAUAUCUGACGUUGAGGCACGAAAGCGUGGGGAGCAAACAGGAUUAGAUACCCCGGUAGUC